rnacentral:rRNA from 1 species
GCGACAGGCUUAACACAUGCAAGUCGAGGGGCAGCACAGGUAGCAAUACCGGGUGGCGACCGGCGCACGGGUGAGUAACGCGUAUGCAACUUACCUAUCAGAGGGGGAUAACCCGGCGAAAGUCGGACUAAUACCGCAUGAAGCAGGGGCCCCGCAUGGGGAUAUUUGCUAAAGAUUCAUCGCUGAUAGAUAGGCAUGCGCUCCAUUAGGCAGUUGGCGGGGUAACGGCCCACCAAACCGACGAUGGAUAGGGGUUCUGAGAGGAAGGUCCCCCACAUUGGUACUGAGACACGGACCAAACUCCUACGGGAGGCAGCAGUGAGGAAUAUUGGUCAAUGGCCGAGAGGCUGAACCAGCCAAGUCGCGUGAGGGAUGAAGGUUCUAUGGAUCGUAAACCUCUUUUAUAAGGGAAUAAAGUGCGGGACGUGUCCCGUUUUGUAUGUACCUUAUGAAUAAGGAUCGGCUAACUCCGUGCCAGCAGCCGCGGUAAUACGGAGGAUCCGAGCGUUAUCCGGAUUUAUUGGGUUUAAAGGGUGCGUAGGCGGCCUUUUAAGUCAGCGGUGAAAGUCUGUGGCUCAACCAUAGAAUUGCCGUUGAAACUGGGGGGCUUGAGUAUGUUUGAGGCAGGCGGAAUGCGUGGUGUAGCGGUGAAAUGCAUAGAUAUCACGCAGAACCCCGAUUGCGAAGGCAGCCUGCCAAGCCAUGACUGACGCUGAUGCACGAAAGCGUGGGGAUCAAACAGGAUUAGAUACCCUGGUAGUCCACGCAGUAAACGAUGAUCACUAGCUGUUUGCGAUACACUGUAAGCGGCACAGCGAAAGCGUUAAGUGAUCCACCUGGGGAGUACGCCGGCAACGGUGAAACUCAAAGGAAUUGACGGGGGCCCGCACAAGCGGAGGAACAUGUGGUUUAAUUCGAUGAUACGCGAGGAACCUUACCCGGGUUUGAACGCAUUCGGACCGAGGUGGAAACACCUUUUCUAGCAAUAGCCGUUUGCGAGGUGCUGCAUGGUUGUCGUCAGCUCGUGCCGUGAGGUGUCGGCUUAAGUGCCAUAACGAGCGCAACCCUUGCCACUAGUUACUAACAGGUAAAGCUGAGGACUCUGGUGGGACUGCCAGCGUAAGCUGCGAGGAAGGCGGGGAUGACGUCAAAUCAGCACGGCCCUUACAUCCGGGGCGACACACGUGUUACAAUGGCGUGGACAAAGGGAGGCCACCUGGUGACAGGGAGCGAAUCCCCAAACCACGUCUCAGUUCGGAUCGGAGUCUGCAACCCGACUCCGUGAAGCUGGAUUCGCUAGUAAUCGCGCAUCAGCCAUGGCGCGGUGAAUACGUUCCCGGGCCUUGUACACACCGCCCGUCAAGCCAUGGGAGCCGGGGGUACCUGAAGUCCGUAACCGCGAGGAUCGGCCUAGGGUAAAACUGGUGACUGGGGCUAAGU